UACGGAGGGUGCAAGCGUUAUCCGGAUUUACUGGGUUUAAAGGGUGCGUAGGCGGGCCUUUAAGUCAGUGGUGAAAUCUUCCCGCUUAACGGGAAAACUGCCAUUGAUACUAUUGGUCUUGAAUACAGUUGAGGUGGGCGGAAUGUGUCGUGUAGCGGUGAAAUGCUUAGAUAUGACACAGAACACCGAUUGCGAAGGCAGCUCGCUAAACUGUGAUUGACGCUGAGGCACGAAGGCGUGGGGAUCAAACAGG
rnacentral:rRNA from 1 species